GGGUGUUAGCUCAGCUGGUUAGAGCGCUGGCCUGUCAAGCCAGAGGUCGCGAGUUCAAGUCUCGUACAU
rnacentral:tRNA from 1 species